AAAAUCCGUCGAUUUUUGAAAUCAUGAGGGUUCAAAUCCCUCUAUCCCCA
rnacentral:tRNA from 2 species